AGCAGCCGCGGUAAUUCCAGCUCCAAUAGCGUAUAUUAAAGUUGCUGCAGUUAAAAAGCUCGUAGUUGAAUUUCGGGACUAAUAUGUCGGUCGUGCCUCGGUACGUACUGGUUUAUUGGUUUCUCCUUUCUGAAGAACCAUGAUGUCAUUUAUUUGGUGUCGUGGGGAAUCAGGACUGUUACUUUGAAAAAAUUAGAGUGUUUAAAGCAGGCUCACGCUUGAAUACAUUAGCAUGGAAUAAUGAAAUAGGACGUUUGAUUCUAUUUUGUUGGUUUCUAGGAUCGACGUAAUGAUUAAUAGGGAUAGUUGGGGGCAUUAGUAUUCAAUUGUCAGAGGUGAAAUUCUUGGAUUUAUUGAAGACUAACUACUGCGAAAGCAUUUGCCAAGGAUGUUUUCAUUAAUCAAGAACGAAAGUUAGGGGAUCGAAGACGAUCAGAUACCGUCGUAGUCUUAACCAUAAACUAUGCCGACUAGGGAUCGGAUGAUGUUAAUUUUUAAUGACU
rnacentral:misc_RNA from 1 species